AUUAUUCAAAGCUUGCAUUCCUUUGUGCCGAUGGUUCUGUUAAUCUACACGCUAGAUACGGAAGUCAUUACAGUUUACGCAUUCCAAGGUUGGUUGGCUUUAUGGUCCCACCAUUGAAGAUAUGCUCACUGGACUCAACAUCCAUGGUAGAGGAUGGAAAUCCGUCCUUUGCUCACCAUACCCACGAAUCAUGCUUUUUCGCUUCUAACACUUGAAUUAUUGAAAAGUUGAACUUAGUUAUAAGGAGCUCAUUAAGGAAAAGUAUGAAGAAAAAGAAAGGUUAAAUGGGAUUAUUGCGGGGUUGUUGGCUGGAAAAGAAAAAGAUAAGGUGGACAAAGAUACUAUGAUCGAUAGGAUGUAACAAAUUGAAGCUAUGUUAACAAGUACAAUUCGAUGAUGGGCUACAAACACUUGGUUUUAAAUGUUUCGAUGUUUAUCAUAUUAGGAUAAUUUUAGUCAUCUGAUG